rnacentral:rRNA from 1 species
AUUGUACGCUGGCGGCAGGCUUAACACAUGCAGUCGAACGGUAACAGGGAUUAGCUUGCUAUUUGCUGACGAGUGGCGGACGGGUGAGUAUGCUUGGGAAUCUUGCUUAUGGAGGGGGAUAACUACGGGAAACUGUAGCAAUACCGCGUAAAAUCUUCGGAUUAAAGGGUGGGAACUUUUCGGGCCACCUGCCAUGAGAUGAGCCCCAAGUGGGAUUAGGUAGUUGGUUAGGUAAAGGCUGACCCAAGCCGACGAUCUCUAGCUUGGUCUGAGAGGAUGACCAGCCACACUGGAACUGAGACACGGUCCAGACUCCUACGGGAGGCAGCAGUGGGGAAUAUUGCACAAUGGGGGGAACCCUGAUGCAGCCAUGCCGCGUGAAUGAAGAAGGCCUUCGGGUUGUAAAGUUCUUUCGGUGACGAGGAAGGUGUAUGUUAAUAGCAUAUCAAAUUGACGUUAAUCACAGAAGAA